UACAGAGGGGGCAAGCGUUGUUCGGAAUUACUGGGCGUAAAGGGCGCGUAGGCGGCCUUCUAAGUCAGACGUGAAAUCCCUCGGCUCAACCGGGGAACUGCGUCUGAUACUGGGAGGCUUGAAUCCGGGAGAGGAAUGCGGAAUUCCAGGUGUAGCGGUGAAAUGCGUAGAUAUCUGGAGGAACACCGGUGGCGAAGGCGGCAUUCUGGACCGGCAUUGACGCUGAGGCGCGAAAGCCAGGGGAGCAAACGGG
rnacentral:rRNA from 1 species